rnacentral:lncRNA from 1 species
UAAAAUAAGUAUUUCCUACGCAAUCCUUGAGAUCGAUACUUGGAGAUAAAACUCCUUAUUACUACAUCGGUAAAAAUAGUACACUUGCUAUUUUUCCGACCAAUUUGCACAGUUAGAAUGUAUCAAACUAUAAUUUAUUAUAAAAAAUAAGCAAAAGAAAAUAAAAAAAAAAUCAAAUUUAAACUUAACUUCAAAAACAUAUUAAGAACAAUUAAAAUAAUGCAAGUUUUAAAAUUGUCUUAGCACACAGUAAAAUAUAAUGUAUUAAAAUACAUUUAUCAAUGUAAGACCAUAG